UAUGUGAUCGUCUCUCGCAUAUCAAUAAGCGGAGGAAAAGAAACUGACAAGGAUUCCCUUAGUAACGGCGAGUGAAGCGGGAAGAGCUCAAAUUUGAAAUCUUCAAGGUUUUACCUUGACGAAUUGUAGUUUAAAGAAGUGUUUUCUGUUGAAGUUUUGGUAAAAGUUCUUUGGAAUAGGACAUCAUAGAGGGUGAGAAUCCCGUAUUUGACCAUUAUUUUCAGCCUGUGUGAUACACUUUCAAAGAGUCGGAUUGUUUGGGAAUGCAGUCCAAAAUGGGUGGUAAAUUUCAUCUAAAGCUAAAUAUUGGCGAGAGACCGAUAGCGAACAAGUACCGUGAGGGAAAGAUGAAAAGAACUUUGAAAAGAGAGUUAAACAGUACGUGAAAUUGUCAAAAGGGAAGCGUUUGACACCAGUGUUGUUUUCUCGAAAAUCAAUUAAAAAGAGUUAGAUUUUGUUGUGUAUUGACCUUAACAGCUUGCAUUUCAAUUUUCUUGCUUUUUUUAAUGCACUUUUCGUUUAACAAGUCAACAUCAGUUUCUUUUGUUGUAAAAAGGUCAUUGGAGGGUGGCUUUCUUUUCGGAGAAAGUGUUUAUAGCCUUUGACUCCUGCAAUCGGAGAGACUGAGGUCUGCAGCGUAGAUCCUUCGGGGUUAGAUACAUUUGUGCUAAGUUAUAGCUUUUUAUAGACAACUUGUUGACUAUGAUUAGUCUUGUAGCUUACUCGCUUAUGCUAUUUUACCUACGCUUAGGAUGUUGAAGAUGUAGCACAUCAU
rnacentral:rRNA from 1 species